rnacentral:rRNA from 1 species
UGUCAAGUCAGCAUGACCCUUAUGUCCUGGGCGACACACACGCUACAAUGGCCGGUACAAAGGGCAGCCAAGCGGUAACGCGGAGCCAAUCCCGCAAACCCAGUCGUAGUUCGGAUUGCAGGCUGCAACUCGCCUGCAUGAAGGUGGAGUUGCUAGUAACCGCGCGUCAGCAUAGUGCGGUGAAUACGUUCCCGGGCCUU